AAACUUUCAACAACGGAUCUCUUGGUUCUGGCAUCGAUGAAGAACGCAGCGAAAUGCGAUAAGUAAUGUGAAUUGCAGAAUUCAGUGAAUCAUCGAAUCUUUGAACGCACAUUGCGCCCAUUAGUACUCUAGUGGGCAUGCCUGUUCGAGCGUCAUUACGACCCUUAAGCCUAGCUUAGUAUUGGGAACCUACGUGCGGCAGCUACCCUGUAGCUACCCUGUAGCUCCUUAAAGACAACGGCGGAGACGUGGAGUCCUCUGAGCUUAGUAAACUUUUUCUAGCUUCUGAAGGCGCCGCGGCCCCUGCCGUAAAACCCCCCAACUCUUUAGUGGUUGACCUCGGAUCAGGUAGGAAUACCCGCUGAACUUAAGCAUAUCAAUAAGCGGAGGAAAAGAAACCAACAGGGAUUGCCUUAGUAACGGCGAGUGAAGCGGCAACAGCUCAAAUUUGAAAGCUGGCCUUCGGGUCCGCGUUGUAAUUUGUAGAGGAUGCUUUUGGUUAGGUGCCUUACGAGUUCCCUGGAACGGGACGCCUUAGAGGGUGAGAGCCCCGUACGUUUGGUUACCGAGCCUCUGUAAAGCUCCUUCGACGAGUCGAGUAGUUUGGGAAUGCUGCUCUAAAUGGGAGGUAAAUUUCUUCUAAAGCUAAAUACCGGCCAGAGACCGAUAGCGCACAAGUAGAGUGAUCGAAAGAUGAAAAGCACUUUGAAAAGAGGGUUAAAUAGCACGUGAAAUUGUUGAAAGGGAAGCGUUUAUGACCAGACUUUUUCCUGGCGGAUCAUCCGGUGUUCUCACCGGUGCACUU
rnacentral:rRNA from 1 species